rnacentral:misc_RNA from 1 species
GGGUUGCGUCAUGGGUUGCGUUAUGGGAAUCCCCGCAUAGAUGAUUCACUAGCGGGAAUAUUUGGUAUUUUAGUAAGCUUGGACAUCUAUUAAUAUUUCGUUGCCUUUUUAUAUUUGUGGCUAGCAUUCAUUGGAUACCAGCGCGAGCAAGUGCGAGAUUCACUAAGUCGCUCUGGUCAAGGAAGACAAUGCGUUUCCCAUUCGGAUCAAAUCGGUUGAGAGAUUGUGUGUUUUGUCGCAUUGUUGAGGGGCGAGAACCAAAUGAAAUUUUGUACAAGGAUCAGAAAUAUACUGCAUUCAGUGACAUUCGACCAGCCUCAAAGAAUCAUCUUUUGAUCAUCACAAAUGAGCAUGUACAGGAUGUCACUCAACUACAGGGGAAAACAGAAGUUGUGGAUGGCCUUGUCAAUGUGGCCAAUCAGCUAUUGGAGAAAAAUGGAGCUGACCUAAAUGAUGUCCGGCUCGGCUUCCACUGGCCGCCGUUCCACCUGGUCUCCCACCUGCACCUGCACGCCAUCGAGCCGGCCAGCCAGAUGUCACUGCUCUCGCGGAUGGUGUUCCGCCAUGGACUCUGGUUCGCCUCGGUGAGUACUGACUACCGAGUACUGAGUCACUGACCUAACCCAACCAAACCCGACCGUUCCAUCCCGUCGGCAGGAUCGGGUUUCAUGUGCCUCCGCUCAUCUCCGUGUGGCACAUCCACCUGCACGUCAUCUGGCCGUUCAGUGAAGCCGGUGUGUUCGUCAAGUGGAAGUACAAGAGGUCCUCCUGGUUUUGGACGCCGGAGGUGGCCAAACAGUGGCUGCGGGACCGCGAGGCGAGAGACGCGGCGGCCCGGAGUCCUGACGACAGGGAGAGACGGCGGUCGGCCGGCCGAAAAUCCUCCUCUGCCGCCAACGCAGCCGGACAGGCUGAGGAGCACAUUAUUCAGGACGUGGAGGAUCAGGACGUCGCGGAGGUCACCAAAAAGAUGGCCAAGAUGAACAAAUAGUAUACUUUUCGACAUGUCGAGAUAUUCGAGAGAAUUUACUAGACUUCGGGUAGAUUAUAUUUAUCUGGUGCUAUAGGUGUUGCAUUUUGUGUGCGUUGUGUUAUUGUGUGUUGUGCACAAGUGAUAACUGCCUGGAUUAUUCGUCUCCAUGCCGUGCAAAUGUGAUUUAUGGAGCUGCAGUGUGCUUAUGGGUUCAGCCAGUGCUCGCAAUCUACUUACAUUACAAAGUAUCGAUUCAGGUCGGUACCCCAGCCCCCGUAAUCACAUGCUAUUGUAGGUUUCGGGAUGAGUAAAAAAUAUACACCGAUUUAUGUUUUUUUUUAGGAGAGAACACCAUCGUGUUUUGGUGACAUAUCUGGACCGCUAAAUACGAAGCAUUUGCAGAUGCAAGAUGUGAUGACCUCAUGAACCACUGUUUAUCACGCACUUGACUACGAACGUCGCUUCCCAUGUGUUCUGCUCGUUGUUUCCAGUCGGUAAGUCGCCUGUGGUCGGCGCUUCUAUCGAUACCUUGCAGUGAUGGGCAACAUGGAGGGUGCCGGUGUCUGGCCAUACUAGAUCACUUAUUCGGUCGAUGUUCUGUGGAUUGGUAGCCGAUACAGACAGCUGGUGCCUGAUCCGUUCAUGACUGACCAAUGCAAAUUGUGGGAAAUACAACCGAAAUAUAUUUAAUCGUGUUCUAA